GAUCUUGUUAAGGUUUUACAUGGGCCAUCCAAGCAGCUACACCUGAAGUCAAGAGGGUGAAAAGGCAGAGGCCACCUGCUGAUGAAUGAAUGAAUCUUGGAUGAGAUCACCUCCCCCAGUGACUCAGCUCCAGUUCUGGGAAGGAAAUUAUCACCCAAGAACUGAGGUGAAAACAGAGAGGAGGGCUCUGGAAGAGUCAUUUCCAAAGGAACUGUUUCUAAACGUCAGGAGUCAUGGUGAAACAGCUACUGUACGGAACUUGCUGUAAAGACAGACAGAGACAGACAGACAGACAGACAGAGACACAAAGAGAAAACUGCUGCUGAAGGAAGGCCAUCUAGAGGCUGUUAAGAAUUUAAAGACAGAUCUCAGAUAAAAUAUAGCGCCUGAACAGUCUUCAGGGAGACAUUGACGAGGCUGGUAACAGUGUCUGGCAUCGGUGACAUUUCAAAAAUGAUGAAAAGACAGAGACUGCAAAGAAAAACACUCAAAGGACAGGAAACCAGAGCUGAAGAAAUGGCUCCAUGGAUAAUGACAUUUGCUAUUCUUCCUGAAGACUCAAAUCCAAAGAUGUAAACUAGCCAUGUAACAAUGUCUCCUGGGUGCUGUAAGAGAAGUUCUGAGUGCUGUGGAGAUGGAAAGGAGAAAGAGCAGACACCACUUUGAAAUAUUCAUGGAAAAGGCAACAGCUCCAGAUGAGUGGACCACAACAGACAAACCAAGGAACGGAAACUAGCAAGUGCUCAAAGCUGCGGCUGUUCUAUUGGAAGGGGGUGGGAAAAGAGGAAGAAACAUUCAAACAUUGGGUGGUGGGAAAAACCUGAAAAGUUGGAGUAGGCCCUCAGGUCUUUAUUUGACUUCUUCUUUCUUUUUUUUUUUUUUUUUUAUGUAGUUGGUUAUGUGUUGAAGGGAGAGCAGGGCCCCUUGUUUGUCCGUAAAUAACCACACAGAAGCUGUAUUAAUUUAAACAGUGCCUGACCCAUUAUCUCUAGCCUCUUAUUGGCUAACUCUCACAUCUCGAUUCAACCCAUUUCUAAUAACCUGUGUUCGCCACGAGGUUGUGGAUUACCAGGAAAGAUUCAGCGUGUCUGACCUGGCAGCUCCAUGGCAGCUCUCUCUCACUCUGCUUUCUUCCUCCCAGAAUUCAGUUCUGUCUACUCCGCCUACCUAAGUGCUGCCCUAUCAAAAGGCCAAGGCAGUUUCUUUAUUCAACCAAUGAAAGCAACACAUAGACAGAAAAACCUCCUACACCAGUUACGUGCAGUUCCUUGCCUUUGGAAAAAAGUUUAUAGCAAAAGUGGUAGAUUUGGAGAACACAAGCCUAGUAGUCAAUAUUCUAAAAUGGCUCCUAGUGACCUGUGACCUUUAAAGGGGCCCUCCAUUUUGAGUUGGAAGAGGUGAAAUGAUUAGCUUACAUCAUAUGCCAAAAUUGAUUAAAAGUUGGAGAUAAUCAUUGGUGGGCCUAACAUCAGGUAAUUUCUUCUUUAAAAAAAAUGUUUUAUUGGGUUUUGGUUUUAUUUUUUUCUUUUUGUUUGUUUUGAUUUGUGGUUUAUUCUGUAGAAAUAGGUCAGACGUACCACAAUAAACCACAGUUUUAAAAAAUGGAAGGAAUUCUACAUUGCUAGAUAAACACAGAGGGCAGCACAGAGCAGAAAUGUCUGGGGGCUUCCAGGCGCUGAUACAAGCCCCGGCGAACAGCUAGUGAGAUGAGACCUCAAUCCCACAGCUGGCAGAAAUGACUAAAAUGGAAGAGACUGGAAGAAGAUUCUUUUCGAAAACCCUCAAAUGAAAUCACCAAAUUGGCAACAAUUUGACUGCAAGACCCUGGGCAGAGAACUCAGCUGAGUCCACCUGUACUGUAGACUUGGGAGACAAUAAAUGGGUAUUGUUUAGGCCUCUAAAUCUGUGGUAAUUGCUUUCACAGCAGUAGAAAUCAAGCAGGGGGUUGGAGAGAAAAAAAAAUAA